rnacentral:lncRNA from 1 species
AUGCAGCCUGAUAACACCUUCCCUCAGGCCUGCAGGGUUGUACCACUUGCUUCUUGACCUGGGUCUUCUCUGAUGUGGGAUGUUUCCAUAACUACAAAGUGAAAGUAGAGAAGGGGUUUCACCGUGGUCUCAAUCUCCUGACCUCGUGAUCUGCCCGCCUCGGCCUCCCAAAGUGCUGGGAUUACAAGCGUGACCCACCGCGCCCCGCCUGGAAAACUUUCAGUGAUCACCCAAGACCAUACUAUCUGAAUACAGUGCAUUAAAGGAGGUGCAGAGACUGAAGAUCUGCAUUAAGCAGCAAGUACUUCAGCCCAGGUCCAUGUUCUACGCUCUAUGCAAAUUUCAAAGCUACAUUUCUGGGACCCUUGGCAGGGUGCUCAGGCCAAGCGAGGAUACUGGGUAGAGUCACAAAUUACCCAUGUACUUCCUUUACAUUUGCUUCCACCAGGACUUUAAUUCAGUUUAAAUCAGUUCAAGGUGAAUAUCAAGGGAAACACUGAAGAGUAAAAGAAGUAACAAGAGAGUGUGGUGGGAGUUGUGUACCAAAAGGUAACAAAGACUGCUCUACCCAAUUGCCUUUGUGGAGUGAUGAUGCAUCUGUUGUGUGUGUGUAUGUGGGUUGUACUUUUUUCCUAUACUAUGUGUUGAAGAGGAGGGACUGGGCUGGCCAUUGAGGGAGUGGCCCAAUUGGCAUAUGCUGUGUGCACGGCCAUUCAGCAGGAGAGGGAAUAGCCAGUGAUGGAUCACCUUGACAACAGAGCCAGAAGGCUUCCAGGGUCUUCACAGGCUGGUGGCACCAUGCUAAAUAUACUGUAAUCUAAUACCUGCAACAUCUGUGCAGCCUCAGAAAACUGAUUUUGGCUACAGCUUGAGGAGGACUACCUUCUGAGACACAUUCACAUUAAAUAAAUUCAUAAGCCUGAUGAAGAUAAUUUGAAGGCCAAUUCAUUCUCUUCAGUUCUCUUCAAAGGCUGACAAUAUUUGCUCUACUCCACAUGAUCUUUCUGAACUGACCUCCUGCUACCCACCUCAUGCACCUUGCUUGAGCUACCCUGACCCCGUGCUCUUCCUCAAACACACCAGACAUGCUCACUCUAUCCAGGGUACUUUCCCUUAUUUAUCCUUACAUCUUGCUCCCUCAGCUCCUUUUGGACUUCUCAGUGAAGCUUUAUUCACAUCCUUGUUUAAAAUGCAACAUCAGAGGAGUCACAUCAGCAAGAUGACUGAAUCUGAGGUCCCAGGCUUCACUUUCUGCCACAGAUAUUUCAGCUAGCAAUUAUCCUCAGAUGAAAAGAACUUUGUGAAAACCCAAAAACUUAGGACUAAGACUGAGUGUAAACCAUAGAACUAAAUAAAAUUAUAUCAUAAGAUAAGAGGAAUGAUUUCACUUUGACUACAUCAUCAUUUCCCUCCUUCAAGACAACACGACACAUAGCGAAGAUCCCCUGAAUCGACAGUUUCCAUAGUGAGUAAAGAGCUCUGGAGGUAGUCAUCCAGCUUCUCAGUAUUCAGAGACACUUCUCAGGGAGCUCGCCCCCAUCUCACCUCAAAGGGAACACUAGGUGUAACAAUGGGACUAGACCACCUGGGAUCAGAUAGAAACACCAAAAGGAGGCUCAAGGAUCUUGAUGAUAGCCCUGUGUUUCUGCCGUUGAUGGCAUCCCAGCCAACAGCAGAGCUCACCCACAAAGCCAAGCUGGUGGAUCCCAGAAGUAUAGCAGGACGUUCAAGCUGGCUAGAGCCCUAGGCAGCCAGCCUCCAUACCCAGCCUUGGAGCCUACACCAGAUCCCCACCCAGGCAAGGAGACACCAGCCACAACACAUUUCUGUUGAGCGUAGG